GCCAGGCAUGGUGGUGCAUGCCUGUAAUCCCACCACCUUGGGAAGCUGAGGCAGGAGGAUUGAGAGUUCAAAGCCAGCCUUAGCAAAGGUGAGGUGCUAAGCAACUCAGUGAGACCCUGUCUCUA
rnacentral:sRNA from 1 species